CCUGGCAUUGGGUAAAGGGAACGGAAUGCAUGAAUAGAAUACUCAUCUGGUUUUCUUUUGAUGCAGAAAAACGUCGUAGUACGUUGCGAUAUGCUCUCAUUUUUGUGAUGAACAAAACAAAAAAUAAAAAAGGUUUACAGGGGUCUUAAAUCUGGGCAUCAAGGAGCGUUUGCAUCGUAGUGGUAGUAAGAUAAUGGUGGUGUGAAAUCAUUUUUCCCAUGCCGGUACCAUCGCAAACAGAAAUAACUGCACAUUGGUGGAGGGGUGUGCGUUGCGUAUAGUUAAACGUAUAUAAACCCCGUACACGUAGAAAACAUCACCCAUAACCGUUUGUAUCAUCGAACCGUGUAGAUCUGCUUUCGUAUAAAGUACCAAUCUUUGCAACGCAGUCUUCACUGGCUCGACUCAGGGCGCAAAACCUGGUCGAGCCAGGAUUCUAACAGAACGCGAAAUGUGUGAUAUUGCAGUGAUGUAAUUCAAAGUUGUAAAUGUAAGCUUCAAUUAAUGUGGUGUUGGCUAAAACAUUGUUGUUGAAUAUCAAUCGCCUGAAUUUUUCUGUUCAUUCAGUAAUGUGUGAUAAAAACUGUUAAACUAAACUUGUAACACCUGUGGCUACAACAACGGAAGAGAAUCGUUUACGCUAUUCACUCACAAAUGAAAAUGCAUUCCGCUAUUGCAAUUGGAGAUCAUCACACUGAAAGGAGAGUAAAGAUAACACUGAUUGCAUCGAUGGAGUGCUAUUUUUUCUGAAGAAUACAUUUCUAUGAUUGGACUAGAGAGACUUUGAUAAAUCGUAAAUAUGACGUCAGCAUCAUCAACUGUAAACUGCUAGCUCCAACAAAAUAAAUACUUUAAUUGUUGAGCUCAACUGGUGUACAACAGAAUCUGCCAUGAAUAAGAUGUUAGAGAAAUCAUAACAUGAAGAGAUUCUAUCUAGGACGACAAACUUCAAGUCUGAACCAUGGAAGCUGAACAAUGGAUACAUAAAGCAGAUACAACAAACCGCAUUGGGCGCUGGACGAUUGCACGCUGUUGGAUAUUUCCACUCUCCGUACAUUAUAAACUGUUGGUAUUCAGCAUUAACAUAACCAUUACUGGUAUUUCAGUUCCCAAAUGCAUCAUUUCACCGUUUUUUAUAUCGCACUACAAACAAUUGACUGUUCUGCUGUUACAUUUCGUUUGCUAACGUGUGCCUUUUUAU